rnacentral:lncRNA from 1 species
AGGGGCGGGAAAUGGGAGGAGCGAAGGGCGGGACCCGGGAGAGCCAAUCAGAAGCUGGGGAGGGGCCUGAAGGAACCAAUGAGGGGACAAGAAGGGGAAGGGGCGGGGCAGAAAAGAGAUGAGAUGAAAAGCACCGGGGAGGGGCGGGGCUUGCAAAGGACACGCGGCAGGAAGUGGCUGUGACGUCACCACGCGCACCCAGCCCCCUCUGCUGUGACGUCAAUGGGAAGCCAAUGACGUCAUAUACACCAAGGCCACCCCCCCACACCUGCCACAGCCCCAGUGAUGACACCAGGCCAGUCAGGACUCAGCAGUUUAUUGGGAACUGGGGGUCCCUGUCACGAUAGUGGGGGGCGGUCCCACACACUCCCUGCAGCAACACGGGGUCCCCGUCACGAUAUGGGAGCGCUGUCACGAUCGGGGGGGUCCCGUCUCCAUACUCAUCCUCAGAGCGAUCCAGAGUCCUGUUGUGAUAUGGAGCUGUUGCAGAACACAGGUUCCUAUCGCGAUAGACGACCCCGUCAUGAUAUGGGGGGGGGGUGUCACCCUUUUCCAUGGAUUGUGAAUUCCCCAAGCAAAUGAGGAGAAACGGGGGUCCCCACCAUGAUACGGGACUGCCUGUCGUGAUAUCAGGGGGCUCUGUCGUGAUAUCGGGGGGCUCUGUUGCGAUAGGGCCCCAGGCCAGCAGCAGCAGCGCCGCAGGGAGUUGAACCCCGCCCCGGGGGGUCCCGGGGGUGCCACCACCGGCGCCUUUUGCUUUUUUUUUGGCCUUUUUGGGUCCGGAGGAGAAAAAGCAAAACCUGAGAAAACGGGGAAAAGUUUUCUCAGGAAAAGAAAAAACCUCCCGAAAUGGGAAAAGAACAAAAAAACCUCCCCAAACCAGGUCCGGCCCCACCCCACAUAAUUUGGGGCAAGAUGUGGGGAAUUUGGGGCCGGAGCACAGCCGAAAACAGGCGGUUUGAGGUUUGGGGCCCAGCGCGCGCUCCCGGCGCAAUUCGGGCGGAAAAAUGGGGAUUUUGGGUCAGAGUCACGGCCCAGACGCAAAACAGACUCAGAAACGGGGAUUUGCGGUCACAGGCGCGUCCCGGUCGCAAAAUAGAGCUGGAAAAGAGAAAUCUGGGGCGCAAAACGGGUCAGAAACGGGGAUUUGGGGCCGAUCGCGCGCCCCUGGCGCUAAACGAGCUCCAAAAGGGCCACUUUGGGUUAAACGCGCGCCCCCGGCGCAGAAUUAGCUCAGAAUUGGGCGGUUGGGGUUAA